CCCUUAGAUGUCCUGGGCCGCACGCGCGUUACACUGAUGCAUUCAACGAGCUUAUAACCUUGGCCGAGAGGCCUGGGCAAUCUUGUUAACGUGCAUCGUGAUAGGGAUAGAUUAUUGAAAUUAUUAAUCUUGAACGAGGAAUUCCUAGUAAACGCAGAUCAUCAAUCUGCAUUGAUUACGUCCCUGCCCUUUGUACACACCGCCCGUCCCACCUACCGAUUGGAUGGUCCGGUGAAGCCUCGGGAUUGUGGUUCUUGCCGCUUUAUUGUGGCGUGACCGCGAGAACUUGUCUAAACCUUAUCAUCUAGAGGAAGGUGAAGUCGUAACA
rnacentral:rRNA from 1 species